rnacentral:rRNA from 1 species
AACAGGGAUUGCCUUAGUAACGGCGAGUGAAGCGGCAACAGCUCAAAUUUGAAAGCUGGCUCCUUCGGAGUCCGCGUUGUAAUUUGUAGAGGAUGAUUCGGCAAGGGCUCCCGCCUAAGUCUCCUGGAACGGAGCGUCAUAGAGGGUGAGAAUCCCGUAUGCGGUGGGCUGCCUAAGCCAUGUGAAUCUCCUUCGACGAGUCGAGUUGUUUGGGAAUGCAGCUCUAAAUGGGAGGUAAAUUUCUUCUAAAGCUAAAUACCGGCCAGAGACCGAUAGCGCACAAGUAGAGUGAUCGAAAGAUGAAAAGCACUUUGGAAAGAGAGUUAAAAAGUACGUGAAAUUGUUGAAAGGGAAGCGCUUGCAGCCAGACUUGUCCGCAGUUGCUCAGCCGGUCUCCUGACCGGUGUACUCUUCUGCGGCCAGGCCAGCAUCAGUUCGGGCGGUCGGAUAAAGACCUCGGGAAUGUAGCUCCUCUCGGGGAGUGUUAUAGCCCGGGGUGGAAUGCGGCCAGCCUGGACUGAGGAUCUCGCUUCGGCUAGGAUGCUGGCGUAAUGGCUGUAAGCGGCCCGUCUUGAAACACGGACCAAGGAGUCUAACAUCUAUGCGAGUGUUUGGGUGUCAAACCCAUGCGCGUAAUGAAAGUGAACGGAGGUGGGAACCCUCACGGGUGCACCAUCGACCGAUCCUGAUGUCUUCGGAUGGAUUUGAGUAAGAGCAUAGCUGUUGGGACCCGAAAGAUGGUGAACUAUGCCUGAAUAGGGUGAAGCCAGAGGAAACUCUGGUGGAGGCUCGCAGCGGUUCUGACGUGCAAAUCGAUCGUCAAAUUUGGGUAUAGGGGCGAAAGACUAAUCGAACCAUCUAGUAGCU